rnacentral:rRNA from 1 species
AUGAACGCUGGCGGCGUGCCUAAUACAUGCAAGUCGAACGGGAAGCCUUAUACUUGUAUAGGGCGGAUAGUGGCGAAUGGGUGAGUAACACGUGGGUGACCUGCCCUGAAGAGGGGGAUAACUGUGGGAAACCGCAGCUAAUACCCCAUAUGCUUAUGCUCUUUAGAAAGGCAUAAGUAAAGCUUUUGCGCUUCAGGAGGGGCCUGCGACCUAUCAGCUUGUUGGUGGGGUAAUGGCCUACCAAGGCUAAGACGGGUAGGGGGCGUGAGAGCGUGACCCCCCACAAUGGAACUGAGAUACGGUCCAUACUCCUACGGGAGGCAGCAGUAAGGGAUAUUGCACAAUGGGCGAAAGCCUGAUGCAGCAACGCCGCGUGAGUGAUGAAGGCCUUCGGGUUGUAAAACUCUUUUCUGAGGGACGAGCAAGGACGGUACCUCAGGAAUAAGUCCCGGCUAACUACGU